AUUGAACGCUGGCGGCAGGCCUAACACAUGCAAGUCGAGCGAGCGGCGGACGGGUGAGUAAUGUCUGGGAAACUGCCUGAUGGAGGGGGAUAACUACUGGAAACGGUAGCUAAUACCGCAUACCCUCAGAUGUGCCCAGAUGGGAUUAGCUAGUAGGUGGGGUAACGGCUCACCUAGGCGACGAUCCCUAGCUGGUCUGAGAGGAUGAUCAGCCACACUGGAACUGAGACACGGCCCAGACUCCUACGUGAGGAAGCAGUGGGGAAUAUUGCACAAUGGGCGCAAGCCUGAUGCAGCCAUGCCGCGUGUAUGAAGAAGGCCUUCGGGUUUUAAAGUACUUUCAGCGAGGAGGCGUUACUCGCAGAAGAAGCACCGGCUAACUCCGUGCCAGCAGCCGCGGUAAUUC
rnacentral:rRNA from 1 species